UACGUAGGGUGCGAGCGUUAAUCGGAAUUACUGGGCGUAAAGCGUGCGCAGGCGGUUUUGUAAGCCGGAUGUGAAAUCCCCGGGCUUAACCUGGGAAUGGCAUUCGGGACUGCAAGGCUGGAGUGCGGCAGAGGAGACUGGAAUUCCUGGUGUAGCAGUGAAAUGCGUAGAUAUCAGGAGGAACACCGAUGGCGAAGGCAGGUCUCUGGGCCGAUACUGACGCUGAGGAGCGAAAGCGUGGGAGCGAACAGG
rnacentral:rRNA from 1 species